UUUAUAUGAGAGUUUGAUCCUGGCUCAGGAUGAACGCUGGCGGCGUGCCUAAUACAUGCAAGUCGAACGAGUUCUCGUUGAUGAUCGGUGCUUGCACCGAGAUUCAACAUGGAACGAGUGGCGGACGGGUGAGUAACACGUGGGUAACCUGCCCUUAAGUGGGGGAUAACAUUUGGAAACAGAUGCUAAUACCGCAUAGAUCCAAGAACCGCAUGGUUCUUGGCUGAAAGAUGGCGUAAGCUAUCGCUUUUGGAUGGACCCGCGGCGUAUUAGCUAGUUGGUGAGGUAAUGGCUCACCAAGGCGAUGAUACGUAGCCGAACUGAGAGGUUGAUCGGCCACAUUGGACUGAGACACGGCCCAAACUCCUACGGAGGCAGCAGUAGCUGAGACUGCC
rnacentral:rRNA from 2 species